rnacentral:rRNA from 1 species
UAAGCGGAGGAAAAGAAACUAACAAGGAUUCCCCUAGUAACUGCGAGUGNAGCGGGAAAAGCUCAAAUUUAAAAUCUGGCGGUCUUUGGCCGUCCGAGUUGUAAUUUAGAGAAGCGUCUUCCGCGCCGGACCGUGCACAAGUCUCCUGGAAUGGAGCGUCAUAGAGGGUGAGAAUCCCGUCUUUGGCACGGAUGCCCGGUGCUUCUGUGAUGCGCUCUCGAAGAGUCGAGUUGUUUGGGAAUGCAGCUCAAAAUGGGUGGUGAACUCCAUCUAAAGCUAAAUAUUGGCGAGAGACCGAUAGCGAACAAGUACCGUGAGGGAAAGAUGAAAAGCACUUUGGAAAGAGAGUGAAACAGUACGUGAAAUUGUUGAAAGGGAAACGCUUGAAGUCAGUCGCGUCGACCGAGACUCAGCCUUGCCUUGGCUUGGUGUACUUCUCGGCCCGACGGGUCAGCGUCAAUUUUGCCCCUCGGAUAAUGGCAAGGGAAAGGUGGCACCUUUACGGGUGUGUUAUAGUCUCCUGUCGCAUGCGAGGGGUGGGAUUGAGGAACUCAGCGCGCACCUUGGUGUCGGGGCUUCUGCCCACGUCACGCGCUUAGGAUGCUGGCGUANUGGCUUUAANCNANC